rnacentral:rRNA from 1 species
CACGGAGUUAGCCGGGGCUUCCUCUGGUGGUACCGUCAAGGCUUGGAGGUGUUAUCACCAAGCCAAUUCUUCCCACCCGACAGGACUUUACGACCCGAAGGCCUUCAUCGUCCACGCGGCGUCGCUGCGUCAGGCUUUCGCCCAUUGCGCAAGAUUCCUCA